GCCUGAUGGAGGGGGAUAACUACUGGAAACGGUAGCUAAUACCGCAUAACGUCGCAAGACCAAAGAGGGGGACCUUCGGGCCUCUUGCCAUCGGAUGUGCCCAGAUGGGAUUAGCUAGUAGGUGGGGUAACGGCUCACCUAGGCGACGAUCCCUAGCUGGUCUGAGAGGAUGACCAGCCACACUGGAACUGAGACACGGUCCAGACUCCUACGGGAGGCAGCAGUGGGGAAUAUUGCACAAUGGGCGCAAGCCUGAUGCAGCCAUGCCGCGUGUAUGAAGAAGGCCUUC
rnacentral:rRNA from 1 species